UAGGGAAUCUUCGGCAAUGGACGAAAGUCUGACCGAGCAACGCCGCGUGAGUGAAGAAGGUUUUCGGAUCGUAAAACUCUGUUGUUAGAGAAGAACAAGGACGUUAGUAACUGAACGUCCUCUGACGGUAUCUAACCAGAAAGCCACGGCUAACUACAUGCCAGACGCCGCGGGAAUUCGUAGGUGGCAAGCGUUGUCCGGAUUUCUUGGGCGUAAUGCGAGCGUAGGCGGUUUCUUAAGUCUGAUGUGAAAGCCCCCGGCUCUACCGGGGAGGGUCAUUGGAAACUGGGAGACUUGAGUGCAGAAGAGGUGAGAGGAAUUCCAUGUGUAGCGGUGAAAUGCUUAGAUAUAUGGAGGAACACCAUUUUCGAAGGCUGCUCUCUGGACUGUAACUGACGCCGAGGCUCGAAAGCGUGGGGAGCAAACAGG
rnacentral:rRNA from 1 species